rnacentral:rRNA from 1 species
UACGUAGGGCGCAAGCGUUGUCCGGAAUUAUUGGGCGUAAAGAGCUCGUAGGCGGCCUGUCGCGUCCGCUGUGAAAUCCCGGGGCUUAACCCCGGGCGUGCAGUGGAUACGGGCUGGCUAGAGGCAGGCAGGGGAGAACGGAAUUCCCGGUGAUAGCGGUGAAAUGCGCAGAUAUCGGGAGGAACACCGGUGGCGAAGGCGGUUCUCUGGGCCUGUUCUGACGCUGAGGAGCGAAAGCGUGGGGAGCAAACAGG